rnacentral:rRNA from 1 species
UGAUGGAGCGACACAGCGUGCAGGAUGAAGGUUUUCGAAUUGUAAACUGCUGUUAUAGGGGAAGAAAAACUUGGAUAGGAAAUGAUCCAAACUUGACGGUACCUUAUUAGAAAGUGACGGCUAACUAUGUGCCAGCAGCCGCGGUAAUACAUAGGUCACAAGCGUUAUCCGGAAUUAUUGGGCGUAAAGCGUUCGUAGGCGGUUUGUUAAGUCUGGAGUUAAAGACUGGGGCUCAACCCCAGCCCGCUCUGGAUACUGGCUGACUAGAGUUACAUAGAGGUAAGUGGAAUUCUUAGUGGAGCGGUGGAAUGCGUAGAUAUUAGGAAGAACACCAAUGGCGAAGGCAGCUUACUGGAUGUACACUGACGCUCAGGGACGAAAGCGUGGGGAGCAAACAGGAUUAGAUACCCUGGUAGUCCACGCCGUAAACGAUGAUCAUUAGCCGCUAGAAUAUUUAGUGGCGCAGCUAACGCAUUAAAUGAUCCGCCUGAGUAGUAUGCUCGCAAGAGUGAAACUUAAAGGAAUUGACGGGGACCCGCACAAGCGGUGGAGCAUGUGGUUUAAUUUGAAGAUACGCGUAGAACCUUACCCACUCUUGACAUCUUCCGCAAUACUAUGGAGACAUAGUGGAGGUUAACGGAAUGACAGAUGGUGCAUGGUUGUCGUCAGCUCGUGCCGUGAGGUGUUAGGUUAAGUCCUGCAACGAGCGCAACCCCUGUCUUUAGUUACUAACGGAUAAUGCCGAGGACUCUAGAGAGACUGACUGGGUAACCAGUAGGAAGGUGGGGACGACGUCAAAUCAUCAUGCCUCUUACGAGUGGGGCAACACACGUGCUACAAUGGACGGUACAAAGAGAAGCAAUAUGGUGACAUGGAGCAAACCUCAAAAACCGUUCUCAGUUCGGAUUGAAGUCUGAAACUCGACUUCAUGAAGUUGGAAUCGCUAGUAAUCGUAGAUCAGCUACGUUACGGUGAAUACGUUCUCGGGUCUUGUACACACCGCCCGUC